rnacentral:rRNA from 1 species
UGGUCCUACGGGAGGCAGCAGUGGGGGAUAUUGCACAAUGGGCGCAAGCCUGAUGCAGCGACGCCGCGUGAGCGAAGAAGUAUUUCGGUAUGUAAAGCUCUAUCAGCAGGGAAGAAAAUGACGGUACCUGACUAAGAAGCCCCGGCUAACUACGUGCCAGCAGCCGCGGUAGUACGUAGGGGGCAAGCGUUAUCCGGAUUUACUGGGUGUAAAGGGAGCGUAGACGGCAGUGCAAGUCUGAAGUGAAAGGCAAGGGCUCAACCCUUGGACUGCUUUGGAAACUGUGCUGCUCGAGUGUCGGAGAG